AUCGCGAAUCAGAAUGUCGCGGUGAAUACGUUCCCGGGUCUUGUACACACCGCCCGUCACACCAUGGGAGUCGGAUAUGCCCGAAGCCGGUGACCUAACCGCAAGGAAGGAGCCGUCGAAGGUGGAGCCGAUGACUGGGGUGAAGUCGUAACAAGGUAAC
rnacentral:rRNA from 1 species